rnacentral:tRNA from 1 species
GCGGUCAUGGCGGAAUUGGUAGACGCACUACCUUGAGGUGGUAGCGGGGCGACCCGUGGAGGUUCGAGUCCUCUUGACCGCA